AUUGAACGCUGGCGGCAUGCUUUACACAUGCAAGUCGAACGGUAACAGGCCUUCGGGCGCUGACGAGUGGCGAACGGGUGAGUAAUGUAUCGGAACGUGCCCAGUCGUGGGGGAUAACUAUCCGAAAGGAUAGCUAAUACCGCAUACGAUCUGCGGAUGAAAGCGGGGGACCUUCGGGCCUCGCGCGAGUGGAGCGGCCGAUGUCAGAUUAGGUAGUUGGUGGGGUAAAGGCUCACCAAGCCAACGAUCUGUAGCUGGUCUGAGAGGACGACCGGCCACACUGGGACUGGGACACGGCCGAGCCUCCUACGGGAGGCAGGAGUGGGGAAUUUUGGACAAUGGGCGCAAGCCUGAUCCAGCAAUGCCGCGUGCAGGAAGAAGGCCUUCGGGUUGUAAACUGCUUUUGUACGGAACGAAACGGCUCUGGUUAAUACCCGGGGCUAAUGACGGUACCGUAAGAAUAAGCACCGGCUAACUACGUGCCAGCCGCCGCAGUAACAC
rnacentral:rRNA from 1 species